UUUUGAGGAAAAACAUCAAUGUGCUUGGCCACUCUGGUUUUUAAAUUAUUCUGAACUAGCAAGGAUUGUUCAAGGAAGUUCAAAACAGACUGUCUCUGGUUAAAUUAGUUCUACACCAAGCCUUUAGGUGGCAGUACAACUAAUUCGCACAAUGCGAAUUCCACACACAAGCCACAAAGAAGCCAUCUACCGCGGUCAACAACACCGACCUAUCUGAACAGCACCACGCGCUGUCUGUGUGGUUUCACUGUUACAAGUUUCUUGGCGAUAUGGGGGAAAGUUCCUCACAUACCAACGGAAAAUGGGCUUCACAUACAUGCUGCUGUCUCAUAAUAUGGCGAAGACGAGUCACUUGAAGGCCUAACAGCUCUUAUGAGGAGCAGUCUUGCCAUAGAAGACUGAAAGAAUGUAAGAUUAACUUCUUUGUGACCAAUAUGACUUGCUCAUUGAUACAUUAGCUAUGUCAAUAUGAGAUGCAUGGCGAAGUAUUUAAUUUAUUUGUCUCUCUUCUAGGAGCUGUAGAAACAACAGGGUGCCUGCUGCAGUAUGACGAGGACGCCCUGAUCAUAGAAGGUCCAGUGUCUUGGCAGGGUGAAAUGGCACUGAUAUCGGUAUGUGGUGAUAUCAGUUAAAAUUAAUGAAUUAAUUCUCAUAUCUGAAUAAUGUGAACACUGGAUUUACCACACACUCACACACACCCUAGUCCUAGAUGAUACAACCAAGGUUACUUUUACCACAGCUCUGGCACUGCAUCAAAUUUCUUUUAUUUUUUAUAGAACUGGACAGGUCAUUUAUUCGUUCCCCUUGUUUUUUGCAGUGUCCUGCAGGAUGCUGUGUCCUGCAAUCCUGUGUGCUGUGCUACAGACGCGUGUGGAGGUCAACCCGAAAUGGGCACAGUAGAGUGAAAGAGGAUCCUGGCAGGGAGACGGUAGUGUCCUGCAGGAUGGUGAUGGGCAAUCUUACAAGAGACCACAGAAAACUGAUAUAGUCUCCCAGAAGUGAGACUGAGUGCCUGUUGCAGUAUGACGAGGAAGCAGUGACCAGAGACCUUCAGUAGACCCUGCUGGCAUGAUUGGCGGCUGAAGAACAUAAUCAACAGCAAUGUUUACUUUAUAAUAUUGUACAUACCUGUAUAGUCUGCACUAAAAUGCUGUACCUGUACUAUUUUUCCUCUUACUUUCAUAUUUACCACGUAUUUACUAUGAAUUGACAACUUUUACUCAAAUCCAUUUUUGUAUGUGCCCUGACUAAAACUAUCCUUAAACCUAACCUGUCAGAGGUGUAAUAACAACCUGCUCUUAGCAAUGUGGCAGCAGUCUACUUGGAUGCAGCGGGGAACAUAGAACCCUUUUUUUGAAAAAGCAUUGUAUGUUUCUGAGUUUUAUGAAUUGUGCCCUUCCCAAACCUAACCUGUCGUAGGGGCCUAUGAAAUCCGUUUUAUUUUUCCUCAUUCAGUUUUUUUCUGAUUUAUUUUUUGCCAAAUUGUUUUUUUUUUUACAUUUUUGAACUUAUUUUCCCCUUUCAUCCCCCCCCCCAAAAAAAUAAAAUAAAUAAAUUCUUAGUUAUUUAGUUCAAACUGGUGUGUGGACAGAGCCAACCACUCAUGGUUGAAUGGUAGGUAGAGAAAAGAAAAGUAAAAUUACCUACUAGCUUUUUGUAAUAUCAGCCCUCAAAAAUAUUCCAGGUAAUAAGGUAGCUGUAUUGUAAUUGUACAUGCGCAUAUAUUCUAUUAAAUACACGUGACGCACGCACCCAACUAGAAGGCGAAUUCACUUCUGGUGCAUUGAAGUUGUUGGACUCUGGCUGCAUCAGGUUUUCUCGAAUACUUGACUAUAUUGCAACGUGCAGCUUAGAGACAUUUUGGGUCACGUUAUAUGUAGGCAUUAAAUAAAUAGCCUCGCAAAGUCCCUACCGUCUACCGUUUCACUCAAACACAUGUUUUACAAGACGGCCGUUUUCUUCUGAUGGUGACUUGACCCUUUUUCAAAGUUGAUGCUAACUUUUAGUCACUAUGCACGGAGAGCCGCCCGUCUUUUCUGUGUCGCAUCGCAUUG